UGCUGGCAGAAGUCUCUCAGUUGGUGUGGGCGAUGCUGUGGCAGGAGAUCGCGGUGGACUGUUCUUCCUGGGCACUGUCAUCUUGGGUGAGGAAGCUAAGGGAGAGUGAGUCAAGGACUGCCUGGGAAGGAAUCUCCUUGGGCUGUUUUCAUUUUCGAAGUGGAUUUUGUUGAUUGGAAUACAGAUUGAAAACUUGAAAGGAUAAUGCUUUGCCUCCUGAAACUGAUUGUGAUUCCAGUGAUCCUGG